UACGAAGGGGGCUAGCGUUGUUCGGAAUUACUGGGCGUAAAGCGUAUGUAGGCGGCUCGUUAAGUCGGGGGUGAAAUCCCGAGGCUCAACCUCGGAACUGCCUUCGAUACUGGCGAUCUUCGAGUCCGGGAGAGGUGAGUGGAACUCCGAGUGUAGAGGUGAAAUUCGUAGAUAUUCGGAAGAACACCAGUGGCGAAGGCGGCUCACUGGCCCGGUACUGACGCUGAAAUACGAAAGCGUGGGGAGCAAACAGG
rnacentral:rRNA from 1 species